UUUUGAAUUGAAGCAAUCAACCUUUUAGUUAAAAUAGCCAAAAAAACCCUAGAUACUACACCUCGCCUCCAUUUUUUUUGUCUCCUUCCUUCUCCGCUUCACACCUCGCCUCCAUCCUUCAAUCUACUUCACACCACUGCUUAUCUCUCUCUCUGCUUCUUCUAUUUCAAACAAAUCGAACACUGACACACCGCGACGGUCGUUCCGAAGAUGAAUUUUAACUACAUCGCUAGAAGCUCUGCGAAUACGGUGAGAAACUCAAUAGUUCCAAAAUCAAAUCUCAGACCAAGAGAAGCUCUGUUUGCUAUCCGGGACUCCAUUGUUUCAUUCAUUUUGGGGAAAUUUUGGUGUUUGAUUUGGUGCUAAAAGCUUAUUCCUAUGUGGAAGGUUUUACAUAGGAGCAUUACAGUGAAAAGGGAUUAGGAUCAAAGAAGGCAUGUCACAGGUGCUUCUUCAUAUGAUUAUGCAGCCAAGAUAGUGGGGGUAUUGAAUGGAAAUUUUUACUAUUUUACACCAAGAUUGUGCCAAUUUUAGUUGUAUACUUAUAUUUAUGGUUGAGUAAAUAUUGUCUUAACUUGUAUAUGAGAAGUCAUGGGAGCAGUAACCAUGACUUUAGGUUUUUUUAUAGUAGUAGUAUAUGUUGCUACUUUUUAGUACCUAUAGAAAGGAUGUACUCUACUAUUCAUUUAUUUAUGUAAAACUGCAAUCAUUUGAAUAAAGGAGUUCAUGUAUUUGCCUCA